rnacentral:lncRNA from 1 species
AUGGAACGUGUCAGCCUGACGACUGAGGGCCACCGCCAGCGCCUGCGCGGUCUGCGGUGGGACAAGUCGGCCCACCCCUUCCUCUUCACGCAGUGGGUCCUGGACUCCGCCCGGCGGUGGCUGCAGCUGGAGCGGCCAAGACCAGGAGCAGAUUGUGGAGCAGGUGGCACUGGAGCAGUUCAUGGCGGCCAUGCCGACUGCCACUGCGGACUGGCUCCAGUGCCACCGACCGGACAUGCUCACAGAUGCAAUCCGCCUGGCCGAAAAUCAUCUGGCAGCAAACCCCAACAAGCCCCUAGCGCCCAGACCCGCUGCCCAUGCCGGGCCUUCGCCCGACCCCAGCCGUCCAACCCCGUGUCUCGCGCGCACUUUCACUUCCCCAGCCCGCCCUUCCCCGACCGGGAAUCCGUCGUCGCGGCGGGGUUUCCCCCUUUCCCUUUAUCCCCUUCUUUUUCCUCUCCUCGGGGGACCCCCCCAUCGGCCGGAAUGCAGGGACCAGUGUGCUGGCGGUGCGGGGAUCUGAGACAUCUGCAGCAAGAUUGUCCCGUCAUGGACAUCGGCGCCGCGGAGGACGCCAGCGCAGCUGCUCCUGGUCCAGCUCCUCGAUACCAUGUUCCGGUAAGAUUCCGAGGGGGUAUCUGCUGGGCUUUGUUGGACUCGGGUUGUCAGCAGACCAUGGUUCACCAAAGCCUGGUACCACCGGGGGCAUGGCGUAAGCAGGGCACGGUGAAGGUGCGGUGUGUGCACGGGGAUAUCCACGUUCAUCCUGUCCCGAGUAUCAUGUUCCGAACGGGGGGCCGACGCUACCAAGUGCGGGCUGCGAUUGCGCCGCGAGCCCCGUUUCCGUUGAUUCUGGGCACUGAUUGGGUGGGGUUUGCCGAAGCCCUCAUGCGCGCAGCGGCGAACCAGGCCCGCGGGAGGGCGAGGCCCUCUGCCUCCCAACCACGCGACGACGCGCCGGCCCCCCCGACGCCCAUCGCCCGGCUCGCGGAGGUGACUUCCCCCUUGAACAGUCACGGGACGACACACUCCGCUAUGCGCGUGAGAAAGUAG